rnacentral:rRNA from 1 species
UACGUAGGCAGCGAGCGUUGUUCGGAGUUACUGGGCGUAAAGGGUGUGUAGGCGGUUGUUUAAGUUUGGUGUGAAAUCUCCCGGCUCAACUGGGAGGGUGCGCCGAAUACUGAAUGACUUCGAGUACGGAAGAGGAGAGUGGAAUUCCUGGUGUAGCGGUGAAAUGCGCAGAUAUCAGGAAGAACACCUAUGGCGAAGGCAGCUCUCUGGGACGGUACUGACGCUGAGACGCGAAAGCGUGGGGAGCGAACAGG